rnacentral:rRNA from 1 species
UACGUAGGUGACCAGCGUUGUCCGGAUUUACUGGGCGUAAAGAGCGCGCAGGCGGUCGUUCAAGUCGAGUGUGGAAGCCCCCGGCUCAACCUGGAGGGGUCAUUCGAUACUGCCGUGACUAGAGGUCGGUAGGGGAGUGUGGAAUUCCUGGUGGAGCGGUGAAAUGCGCAGAUAUCAGGAGGAACACCCGUAGCGAAGGCGGCACUCUGGGCCGAUACUGACACUGAGGAGCGAAAGCGUGGGGAGCGAACAGG